AUACGUAGGGGGCAAGCGUUAUCCGGAUUUACUGGGUGUAAAGGGAGCGCAGACGGCUGUGCAAGUCUGAUGUGAAAGGCAGGGGCUCAACUCCUGGACUGCAUUGAAACCUGUAUAGCUGGAGGGCCGGCGGGGUAGGCGGAUUUCCUAGUGUAGCGGGGAAAUGCGUAGAUAUUAGGAGGAACACCAGUGGCGAAGGCGGCUUACUGGACGGUAACUGACGUUGAGGCUCGAAAGCGUGGGGAGCAAACAGGAUUAGAUACCCUGGUAGUCCACGCGGUAAACGAUGAAUACCAGGUGUCGGGGAGCACAGCUCUUCGGUGCCGGCGCAAACGCAAUAAGUAUUCCACCUGGGGAGUACGUUCGCAAGAAUGAAACUCAAAUGAAUUGGCGGGG
rnacentral:rRNA from 1 species